UGCUGCGAAACCUCAUUUCCCGGGCCCACGGCGGCCUGUGGCGGGACCUGUAGCUGUUGGCUCAGCGGGCGCUGGGCAAAAGCCCCACGUGGGGUGGCGGCUGGUGUGCAGAUCGCGGCGGGAGAGAGGCGCGGUAGGAACGGGUCUUUGGAGCCUUGAGCCGCGCAGGAGUAAAAGAAGCAAUGCAGAAAUCCGAGUGCCAUAGAGGUGUACAGUUAAGAAACAGAGAGACAGAUAGCUGUGAUCAAAGGACAUCAUCAAGUGCACAAAUAAAACAUAGGACUACAGUUCAACAAAGGAAAUCCUCCUCGUCAACCAGUUCUCCAGAAUCUGCAAGAAAACUUCAUCCUCGACCAAGUGAUAAACUUAACCCUAAAACAAUUAACCCUUUUGGUGAACAGUCACGAGCCCCUUCUGCAUUUGCAGCUAUUUACUCUAAGGGAGGUGUUCCUUGCAGAUUGGUCCAUGGUUCAGUAAAACACAGGUUACAGUGGGAGUGUCCUCCUGAAAAGCUUCCGUUUGAUCCUCUUCUUAUUACUUUAGCUGAGGGUCUGAGAGAGACUAAACAUCCGUACACCUUUGUGUCAAAGGAGGGUUUUAGAGAAUUACUUUUGGUCACAGGUGCUCUUGAGAAAGCUGUGCCUUUGCUUCCUAGACUGAUUCCUGUGCUGAAGGCAGCUCUGGUCCACUUGGAUGAUGAAGUGUUUGAAAGAGGAUUGAAUGCUCUGGUACAGUUAAGUGUCGUUGUUGGCCCUUCUCUAAAUGACCAUCUGAAACAUCUGCUUACAAGUCUUUCCAGGAGACUAAGGGACAAGAAAUUCAAAGAACCAAUCACCACUGCAUUACAGAAGCUGGAGCAGCAUGGUGGAAGUGGAAGCCUUACCAUCAUCAAAUCUAAAAUUCCAACCUAUUGCUCCAUAUACUGCUGAAGAAAGUAGCCCUGGUGACAGGUGUUAAAUGCUGACCAUGGAGAAAGGAGUAGAGGGAGAGAAACAUCUGGGCAGGAAGAGCGUUAGGGACCCGACUGGCCACACCAAAUCCAAGGCUGACAGACUUCUGAAGGGCUGGAGAUUAGGGGCAGCAACAUUCUGUCCCAGAAGCCUUGGAGAACAUCCUUUCUUUGCUCCACUCUCAGGAAGAAAAGAACGAAAAAAUUUGCUCAGACUUACCCCUUGAUAACCCUCACACUGAAGUGAACAAGCUGAAGCUGAUGAAAAGAAAGCCCAGCUGCUUAUUUUAUGGGGAGGAACUGCUUCAGAGCACAAACUAGUAGUUUCUUAGUGAUAAGAAUCGUGGCUGACUGAUUUUAGGCUGUUGCCUUUUCAAUAGAAUGUGGUAUAGAUGUAGAGUCACUCUGUUCUAGUAAAAUCCUGCCCUCCAGCUACGACAGACUUCAGGCAACUUGCUGAAACUUUCAGAGCCUUGGUUUUCUCAUCUGUGAGAUGGGGCUAAUGAGGAUUUAUAAAUAACCUCAUAGGGGCUUGUGAGAAAUGAAUGAAAACAAACACCCCAAAACAUAUGAGACAUGGCAAUUGCUUGGUGUUCUAUCCAGGAUAUGUAGAGCAAGUUGAUGUCAUUGGCCCAAGAUACCUUCUAUUUGAAGAACCCAAUGCUCAAAACUCAACUCGGGGGAAAGCUAGUGAGACAAAGAGGACAUAUGGACAUUGAACCACAUCCAGGCUUCAGAUGAGAAGAGAUUUCUGGCACCUCCUUGGAGAUUGGAGUGUUAAAAGAGGAGACUGAAGAAUUCUAGGACCGGGACAGAAAAGAUAGAAGAUGAGGCUGGAGCAUCUUGCAGUGUCCAAAAGUAAGGAAUGAGCAAAGAAAGAAACAAAACAAAACAAAAAAAAUAAACAAC